ensembl:lncRNA
CCCCAGCCACUGAACUACCCACACAGGACCCCAGCCACUGAACUACCCACACAGGACCCCAGCCACUGAACUACCCACACAGGGCCCCAGCCACUGAACUACCCACACAGGACCCCAGCCACUGAACUACCCACACAGGACCCCAGCCACUGAACUACCCACACUGGGCCCCAGCCACUGAACUACCCACACAGGACCCCAGCCACUGAACUACCCACACAGGACCCCAGCCACUGAACUACCCACACAGGACCCCAGCCACUGAACUACCCACACAGGAUCCCAGCCACUGAACUACCCACACAGGACCCCAGCCACUGAACUACCCACACAGGACCCCAGCCACUGAACUACCCACACAGGGCCCCAGCCACUGAAC